GACGAACGCUGGCGGCGUGCUUAACACAUGCAAGUCGAACGGUGAAGCGCUUGCCUUUUUGGUGGGCGUGGAUGAGUGGCGAACGGGUGAGCAACACGUGAGUAACCUGCCCUCUUCUUCUUGAUAACCUCAUGAAUGUGGGGCUAAUACGGGGUAUUCCGGGUCUGUCGCAUGGCGGGUUUGGGAACGAUUGCGCCUGUGGGGGUCUUCGUUGGGGGAUGGGCUCGCGGCGUGUUAGCUUGUCGGCGGGGUGUUGGCCUACUGAGGCGGUGACAGGUAGCCGGACUGGGUGGGUGGACGGCCAGGCUGGGACUGAGACACGGGCCAGACUCCUGAGGGAGGCGGCGGUGGGGAAGAUUGCACAGUGGGCGCAAGCCUGAUGCAGCGAGGCCGCGUGAGGGAGGGAGGCCUUCGGGUUGUGAACCUCUUUCGCGAGUGAAGCAGGCCUGCUCCUGUGUGGGUGGGUUGACGGUAGCUGGAUAAGAAGCGCCGGCUAACUACGUG
rnacentral:rRNA from 1 species